rnacentral:lncRNA from 1 species
GGGUUUUCCUCCCUAUAUAUACGCACUACCUCCCUCAUGGAAAAUAUGCAUCAUAGACUACCAUACGGGAAGACCCCAAGUUAGGGUAUCCCAAUUUUUAAAUCUCCGACGUUUGUAACCUUACCCGAUAUAGUGAAGAUUUGCUAGCUGGCGCCCGUGGUUUUUUCUCUUCCUCCUUGGAAGGGUUUUCCACGUUAAAAUCUC